GGGGGGGUGCCAGAGUGGUCGAUUGGGGCCGCCUGCUAAGCGGUUAUCCGUGUUAUAGCGGAUCGCAGGUUCGAAUCCUGUCCCUCCCG
rnacentral:tRNA from 1 species